GCCUUUUCAAAUCUUUUUUUCUGUUUAUUGUUUUUCAGUGUGUUUUUUUUCUGUCAACAAAUCAAUAACUACUAGUAACUUAUAUAUGAUUAAAAUAAAGACAAAUGGUAAUCAAUUGUGUACUAAUUAUGUAUCAUGACCUGUUGUAGUUCUACUAGUAAAUCGGACAGACAGGACUAUAAUAGGAAUAUGGUAAGGUGUCGCAUAAGUACAUU
rnacentral:lncRNA from 1 species